AAUGUCCACUUGAACAUCACAGACUAAAACCAGAACAAUCCAGAGAAUAUUAGCACGGCCUCUCUACAAGGGUGACAGGCAGACGCAUGAAGAUUUCCAUGUUUUU